AAGAGCCAUUGAUUAGACCAAAUUUUGGUAUUCAAUUGUACAAGGAUCUACUUCGAACGUGUAUAAAUUUUGGUAUAUAUGGAAUGUCGUGUAUAAAUUUUGGUAUAUAUGGAAUGUUGAAUCUCAAUACCAACCAAAUGAUAGAUAAUUGUGUUAGUUUUCUAGAGAUACCAAAUUUGCCUUAAUUCGAUACCCGAGCAAAAAAGUUAUGACUAUUUUCAUGAAAAACAGUAAGG
rnacentral:lncRNA from 1 species